rnacentral:rRNA from 1 species
GAUGAACGCUGGCGGCGUGCUUAACACAUGCAAGUCGAACGAAGCACUGUUUAACUUUCGGGUUAAACAGUGACUUAGUGGCGGACGGGUGAGUAACGCGUGGGUAACCUGCCUUAUACAGGGGGAUAACAGCUGGAAACGGCUGCUAACACCGCAUAAUGUAUAUUGAGGGCAUCCUCGAUAUACCAAAGAUUUAUCGCCGAAGGAUGAGCUCGCGUCUGAUUAGCUAGUUGGUAGGGUAAUGGCCUACCAAGGCUUCGAUCAGUAGCCGGACUGAGAGGUUGAACGGCCACAUUGGGACUGAGAUACGGCCCAGACUCCUACGGGAGGCAGCAGUGGGGAAUAUUGGGCAAUGGGGGCAACCCUGACCCAGCAACGCCGCGUGAAGGAAGAAGGCCUUCGGGUUGUAAACUUCUUUGACGAGGGACGAAAAAAAUGACGGUACCUCGAAAACAAGCCACGGCUAACUACGUGCCAGCAGCCGCGGUAAGAC